GACGAACGCUGGCGGCGUGCCUAAUACAUGCAAGUAGAACGCUGAAGAGAGGAGCUUGCUCUUCUUGGAUGAGUUGCGAACGGGUGAGUAACGCGUAGGUAACCUGCCUUGUAGCGGGGGAUAACUAUUGGAAACGAUAGCUAAUACCGCAUAACAAUGGAUGACACAUGUCAUUUAUUUGAAAGGGGCAAUCGCUCCACUACAAGAUGGACCUGCGUUGUAUUAGCUAGUAGGUGAGGUAACGGCUCACCUAGGCGACGAUACAUAGCCGACCUGAGAGGGUGAUCGGCCACACUGGGACUGAGACACGGCCCAGACUCCUACGGGAGGCAGCAGUAGGGAAUCUUCGGCAAUGGGGGCAACCCUGACCGAGCAGCGCCGCGUGAGUGAAGAAGGUUUUCGGAUCGUAAAGCUCUGUUGUAAGUCAAGAACGAGUGUGAGAGUGGAAAGUUCACACUGUGACGGUAGCUUACCAGAAAGGGACGGCUAACUACGUGCCAGCAGCCGCGGUAAUACGUAGGUCCCGAGCGUUGUCCGGAUUUAUUGGGCGUAAAGCGAGCGCAGGCGGUUUGAUAAGUCUGAAGUUAAGGCUGUGGCUCAACCAUAGUUCGCUUUGGAAACUGUCAAACUUGAGUGCAGAAGGGGAGAGUGGAAUUCCAUGUGUAGCGGUGAAAUGCGUAGAUAUAUGGAGGAACACCGGUGGCGAAAGCGGCUCUCUGGUCUGUAACUGACGCUGAGGCUCGAAAGCGUGGGGAGCGAACAGGAUUAGAUACCCUGGUAGUCCACGCCGUAAACGAUGAGUGCUAGGUGUUGGAUCCUUUCCGGGAUUCAGUGCCGCAGCUAACGCAUUAAGCACUCCGCCUGGGGAGUACGACCGCAAGGUUGAAACUCAAAGGAAUUGACGGGGGCCCGCACAAGCGGUGGAGCAUGUGGUUUAAUUCGAAGCAACGCGAAGAACCUUACCAGGUCUUGACAUCCCGAUGCUAUUUCUAGAGAUAGAAAGUUACUUCGGUACAUCGGUGACAGGUGGUGCAUGGUUGUCGUCAGCUCGUGUCGUGAGAUGUUGGGUUAAGUCCCGCAACGAGCGCAACCCCUAUUGUUAGUUGCCAUCAUUCAGUUGGGCACUCUAGCGAGACUGCCGGUAAUAAACCGGAGGAAGGUGGGGAUGACGUCAAAUCAUCAUGCCCCUUAUGACCUGGGCUACACACGUGCUACAAUGGUUGGUACAACGAGUUGCGAGUCGGUGACGGCAAGCUAAUCUCUUAAAGCCAAUCUCAGUUCGGAUUGUAGGCUGCAACUCGCCUACAUGAAGUCGGAAUCGCUAGUAAUCGCGGAUCAGCACGCUGCGGUGAAUACGUUCCCGGGCCU
rnacentral:rRNA from 1 species